AUUAGCCAUGCAUGUCUCAGUACAAGCCUAAUUAAGGUGAAACCGCGAAAGGCUCAUUAAAUCAGUUAUGGUUCCUUAGAUCGUACCCACAUUUACUUGGAUAACUGUGGUAAUUCUAGAGCUAAUACAUGCCAAUAGAGCUCUGCCCGGAUGACGGAACGAGUGCUUUUAUUAGAUCAAAACCAAUCGGUGGCGGGUUCGCUCGUCAUCGCCCAGCUUGGUGACUCUGAAUAACUUUACGCUGAUCGCACGGUCUUGCACCGGCGACGCAUCUUUCAAAUGUCUGCCUUAUCAACUGUCGAUGGUAGGUUCUGCGCCUACCAUGGUUGUAACGGGUAACGGGGAAUCAGGGUUCGAUUCCGGAGAGGGAGCCUGAGAAACGGCUACCACAUCCAAGGAAGGCAGCAGGCGCGCAAAUUACCCACUCCCGGCACGGGGAGGUAGUGACGAAAAAUAACGAUACGGGACUCAUCCGAGGCCCCGUAAUCGGAAUGAGUACACUCUAAACCCUUUAACGAGGAUCAAUUGGAGGGCAAGUCUGGUGCCAGCAGCCGCGGUAAUUCCAGCUCCAAUAGCGUAUAUUAAAGUUGUUGCGGUUAAAAAGCUCGUAGUCGGAUCUGUGUCUCGCGCCGCCGGUUCAUCGUCCGCGGUGUCAACUGGCGUGUCGUGAGACGUAUUGCCGGUGGGCUCAGCCCUUCGGGGCGGCCCAACUAAUCCCGCCGCGGUGCUCUUCGCUGAGUGUCGAGGUAGGCCGGCACGUUUACUUUGAACAAAUUAGAGUGCUUAAAGCAGGCUAAAACUUCGCCUGAAUAUUGUGUGCAUGGAAUAAUGGAAUAGGACCUCGGUUCUAUUUUGUUGGUUUUCGGAACCCCGAGGUAAUGAUUAAUAGGAACGGAUGGGGGCAUUCGUAUUGCGACGUUAGAGGUGAAAUUCUUGGAUCGUCGCAAGACGAACAGAAGCGAAAGCAUUUGCCAAAAACGUUUUCAUUGAUCAAGAACGAAAGUCAGAGGUU
rnacentral:rRNA from 1 species